GAUGAACGCUGGCGGCGUGCCUAAUACAUGCCAGUCGAGCGAACGGACGAGAAGCUUGCUUCUCUGGUGUUAGCGGCGGACGGGUGAGUAACACGUGGAUAACCUACCUAUAAGACUGGGAUAACUUCGGGAAACCGGAGCUAAUACCGGAUAAUAUUUUGAACCGCAUGGUUCAAAAGUGAAAGACGGUCUUGCUGUCACUUAUAGAUGGAUCCGCGCUGCAUUAGCUAGUUGGUAAGGUAACGGCUUACCAAGGCAACGAUGCAUAGCCGACCUGAGAGGGUGAUCGGCCACACUGGAACUGAGACACGGUCCAGACUCCUACGGGAGGCAGCAGUAGGGAAUCUUCCGCAAUGGGCGAAAGCCUGACGGAGCAACGCCGCGUGAGUGAUGAAGGUCUUCGGAUCGUAAAACUCUGUUAUUAGGGAAGAACAUAUGUGUAAGUAACUGUGCACAUCUUGACGGUACCUAAUCAGAAAGCCACGGCUAACUACGUG
rnacentral:rRNA from 1 species